rnacentral:rRNA from 1 species
UACGUAGGGGGCAAGCGUUGUCCGGAUUUAUUGGGCGUAAAGCGCUCGCAGGUGGUUCGUCGCGUCGUGCGUGAAAGACCCCGGCUCAACUGGGGGAGGUCGUGCGAUACGGGCGAACUGGAGGCCAGUAGGGGGAUGCGGAAUUCCGGGUGUAGUGGUGGAAUGCGUAGAGAUCCGGAGGAACACCAGCGGCGAAGGCGGCAUCCUGGACCGGUAUUGACACUGAGGCGCGAAAGCCAGGGGAGCAAACGGG